rnacentral:rRNA from 1 species
CCUACGGGCGGCAGCAGUGGGGAAUAUUGGACAAUGGGCGAAAGCCUGAUCCAGCCAUGCCGCGUGUGUGAAGAAGGCCUUCGGGUUGUAAAGCACUUUCAGUGGGGAAGAAAGCCUUGGGGCUAAUACCCUCGAGGAAGGACAUCACCCACAGAAGAAGCACCGGCUAACUCCGUGCCAGCAGCCGCGGUAAUACGGAGGGUGCGAGCGUUAGUCGGAAUUACUGGGCGUAAAGCGCGCGUAGGCGGUCUGAUAAGCCGGUUGUGAAAGCCCCGGGCUCAACCUGGGAACGGCAUCCGGAACUGUCAGGCUAGAGUGCAGGAGAGGAAGGUAGAAUUCCCGGUGUAGCGGUGAAAUGCGUAGAGAUCGGGAGGAAUACCAGUGGCGAAGGCGGCCUUCUGGACUGACACUGACGCUGAGGUGCGAAAGCGUGGGUAGCAAACAGGAUUAGAUACCCCAGUAGUC